GUGAGAAUAAUGAAAUUGAGAUAAAGCUAUAAUUGGUAAAGAAGAAGCAGGCACUUAUUAUUAGCCAGUAAAGGGCAAUGUUUGAUCAUUUUUGUGGUUUGAACAAUGUUUUUACCUCUGUCUGUUCAAACAUGAUAAUGAAGUGGUCUUAUUUUUUCUUGCUCCACUACAGUGACAAAAUAAUCCUGUCUGAGGUUGAUGUUCUAUGGAAGUGUUUAUAUUGAACAGGAGAAUGCCACAGAUUCACUGGGAGUGCCAGGCCAGCUCCCAGCUAAUAAGGGCUGCUUUUCUCUUUCUUAAACUAGGGAAGGUGAACUGGAGAUCUGAAGAAUCAGGAAGCCUUACUUCUCAUUUACAUACCUUUUUAUAAUUCUUGUGGUUCUUUGUUAUGGCAGUCCCUGGAAACUAAUACACCCAGGUACAACUUUUUAAAACUUUUUAUUUGGAGAUAAUAAUAGACUCACAGGAAGUUGUAAAAAUAAUACAGAGAGGUCCCACAUAUCCUUCACUCAUUUUCCCCCAAUGGUUACCAGAUGCUUUCAGACCAAAAAAUAGAAAAAAUUAGAAUAUGAGAUGUUUUUAAUUCUUGCAUUUGUACUUUUUUAAGUGGUUUAUUUUUCAACUUUUCUGUCUUGUUUCUAAUUUUAAAGACUAUGAGAUAUAUCCCCUCUUUUUUUGGAUUUCCUUCCCAUUUAGGUCACCACAGAGCAUUGAGUAGAGUUCCUUGAGCUAUAUACAGUAGGUGCUCAUUAGUUAUCUAUUUUAUACAUAGUAGCAAUAGUGUAUAUAUGUCAAUCCCAAUCUCCCAAUUCAUCCCACCCCCCCCACUUCCUCCCUUGGUGUCCAUACGUUUGUUCUCUACAUCUGUGU